AGUCGGCUAGGCAGUCGCUCUGGUGUCAGCGUGUUUACUCUCUUGAGUGUAAACAGGCCCACCAGGGAGGAAAGUCCGGGCUCCACAGGGCAGAACGCCAGGUAACGCCUGGGGGGCGAGAGCCUACGGAAAGUGCAGCAGAAAGUGAACCGCCUACGUUAUUCUCACGAAUAGCCGGUAAGGGUGAAAAGGUGCGGUAAGAGCGCACCGCGCAACUGGCAACAGAUUGUGGCGAUGGUAAACCCCGUUCGGAGCAAGACCAAAUAGGCCUUCGUUGGUGCGGCCCGCACUGAAGGCGGGUAGGUUGCUUGAGGUGUCCAGUGAUGGGCAUCCCAGAUGAAUGAUUGCCCACGACAGAACCCGGCUUAUCGGCCGGCUCU
rnacentral:RNase_P_RNA from 1 species